AAAUGUAAUAUUAUAUACACUCACGGUAUCUACCAUCUCCACCCCAGUCAAGAUUGACAAACAAGGCUUUUUGGUUUGGUUUGAUUUGGUUUUGGUUUUAGUUUGAAUGGAAUAUAUCAAGAAUGUAGAAGUACUCAGAAGGCAUGGAAUGAUUGCAUGGAAGAAGAAAAUGGUUAAAGUUGCUUGACUGCAGUUCUGAGUGUGUAGAAGACAUAUAAAUGUGGGGUUUCCACUCAUUUGUCUCUGUGCCCAUGUUCUACAACCUCAGUGGGGUAGCGCAAUGCAGUUGCAACCUUGCAACAGUGUAUACACCUUGGCAUCUGCAUUGGAUUACCAUCCUAAGCCAUUAGGACAUUAAAAUUGUGCUGGAAAUACUUGUAAAUUAUUUACAGUUUGUGUUAAUUUCACGCUUCAAGUGCCUGCAGAUCAGGGUCAAGGAAAUGAGCCCUUGGCUGUAAUCAGAAGGAAUGACAUAGGUCAUGGGGAAAUGGAUCCCAGGAGAGAUCUGCAUGGCAAACAUCAUUUUCAUUGCCAGGCGAGUUUAAAUUGAUGGAUUGGACCCACCAAUGAAACAAGCUGAAGUAGGGUGUCUUGAUGUGUCAAGGAACCUUUGUUUGCUACAGAUGAUGAACUCACAAGGGGAGCCUUCAGGCAUAGAGGAUGUUCUUCUCUUUACACUUGUUUUCAUCUGCUUUUCUUCUGUGAUGGAACCAGAGAGGGAGAGGUGUCAGGCUAG
rnacentral:lncRNA from 1 species